GGACAUAUUACAUUGAAACACCGAUUCCCGUACGAUGAGCGAAGUUAAGUAACAUCGAGCCUGGUCAGUACCUAGAAGACUGACCGCUUGGGAAGACCACGUGAUGUAA